rnacentral:rRNA from 1 species
CGAAGCCGGAGUUGCUAGUAAUCGCGAAUCAGAAUGUCGCGGUGAAUACGUUCCCGGGCCUUGUACACACCGCCCGUCACACCAUGAGAGCCGGUAACACCCGAAGUCAGGAGCCUAACCGCAAGGGAGGGCGCUGCCGAAGGUGGGAUUGGUAAUUGGGGUGAAGUCGUAACAAGGUAUC